GUGUAUCGCACGUGUCUAUUUAAAUGUCAAAUAUUGACUUGCCUUCAAGGUAGGACAUUGCAGUGAAUAGAAGCAUGACUUUCUGUUGAUGCAACUAGAUAUUCACUUUGUUGAUAUUUGAUUUCAUAUGACAACAUGCCAGUGAACAAGGCACCCUUCCUAAACCCUCGCCGACUGCGCUAAACGGGAACCUUAAUAUACAUGAGAUUCCAGGCGGAAUGUAAAAUCUGUACCACUCUGAUCUCCAGUAGCAGCCCCAGCCGUGGGAGGCCGAUUCAUGAUGCACCUAUGGCCUUAAUUAUCUCUGAACAUCCCAACCUCACAUGACCUGUAGGGCGGGGAUGUAUAUAAAUGAUCAUUAAAUCCCACAAACCAAGGAGAGGUUAUAUUGGAGUCAAUUUUAUUGUCAAGCAGUAUCCUAGCAAUCAAGUCAAGUCAGCGCAGCAGCAACAACAGAUGCAGCAGCAGUCGUACGCAAUACAUCAACAACACUGGUGCAUAUGCAUUAAACUAUAAAGAAGAAAACCGGAUAACAAAGCGUUGAUUUUGUUCUGGAU